CGAAACCUAGAGUUCUUUCAAGAUGAAGGAAUUUUGACAAGUGAUGAAGUUGCUCCGUUACGAAACCUAAGGUUCUUUCAAGGGAAUGGGAAGUGCCUCGUUGGAGACUUCAACAACCUUCUCCCUAGUUUAAGAUGGCUUUCUUGGCAAUUUUACUCUAGCCAGUUUGAGGCAACAAACUUUCAUCCGGCUAAGCUAGUCAUUCUUGACCUUUCAUGGAGCACCAUUUCAGAGGAAUGGAUUGGUUGGGAACAACUUAGAGAGGCCAAAAAACUAAAGGUACUAAAUCUCAACUCGUGCAAAGAGUUAAAGAGAACACCUAAUUUAUCUACGUGGGUGUACCUGGAGAGAUUGGUUCUUGAAUGGCUGUAUCAACUUAAUUGAAAUUGACCCAUCCAUUGGUAAUUUGCGAUCAUUGUUGGCCUUUGAUUUAUCAAAUAGUAAAAUUAGCAAAUUGCCAUACUCGAUUGGAGGGUUGGUGAAAAUUAGGCAGUUGGAUUUUUCGAAGUGUACGAAGUUAAAGGAACUUCCAGACUCGAUUGGGGAAUUACAAUCAUUAGUUGAGUUGGAUUUGUCAUCGACAAGUAUUGAUCGCCUACCUGAUUCAAUCGGCAAUCUAAAGCAACUGAAAGUACUAAGGAUGCGCGGGAUAAGAGGGAUAACAGAAUUACCAAGAGCAAUUGGGCUGCUAGAGAAGCUCGAAGAGUUAAAUGCCUGCGGAUGUGAGAACUUGACCGGCGAAAUCCCUAAAGAAAUUGGGAGACUAUCCCGUUUAAGGAUCCUAGACUUGUCGAGCACACCUAUAUGCGGAUUACCUGCCACGGUGAGUCACCUCUCUAAUCUCCAAGAACUUAAGCUAGAAAAUUGUGCCGAGCUUAAACAAUUGCCAGAGCUUCCCCAAGUUUGUCUUUUCUGACAUGGGGCUGUGAAUAUGAGUUUUGCCCCUGGGUUAAAAGAGGUGCCCCAUCUCAACAGGAAAAACCUGUCAUUACUCUUCCCACUAACAUCGGUAGCCUAUCUCAGCUUAAAACACUAAAAUUGGGUUGCAAAAAUGUGCAAUUCCUCCCCCAGCUCCCCUCUAGUUUAAGACAGUUAAACUUUCGUGAUCUGGUAACCACAGGAUCACCAGAUUUUGACAAUUUACGUCGUAGUCUGGUAACCACACGAUCACCGGAUUUUUCCAAUUUGAAAGACUUGUCAUUCUUGACAUUCGAUGUAUGUUCGCUAGAAUUAUCCAGGAUAUUUGAUGCGGAGUCGGAACGCCUCCGUAUGGAUUACUGUAAGUUUAGAGAGUGGACGCACCGCUGGAAAUGAAAAGAUUGAGAAUAUUAACGAUGGAUAAUUGUAAGUUACUUCCAGAAGUACUUGAUCUGUCGCGCAUGAAGCUUGAUCUGUCGCGCAUGAAGAAUCUAGAAGAGGUAGAAUUGAGAUAUUGCGAUCCAAUAGUCGAGAUUUGUGGCCUUGAAGAAUUGGGAUCCCUUUGCUCUCUAACAGUCAAGCAUUGCUUUUGGUUGAAGAGGAUUUCAGACCUAUCGAAAUUCAAAAAGCUACCGAAGCUCGAUGUAGGAGGUAAUUGGAACCUAAAUAAGCAGGAAAUCUAUUGGAAUUAUUGGAAUGGAGAGUUUGGGGGUGACAUCUGCAACGUCGGCGGCUUAGAUUUGUCGUCUGUCCCCGACAACCGCAAAGCUAAUGUAUUCUUCGGCUCCGAUUCCGAUGAUGCUGAAGAGACCUUUGGCUUGACUAACCUGACCCCGGCUCACAAAGUGAUAAUGAUGAGCAGUUUGAAGUGACACCUUAGACGUUGCCUCUAACUCCCCAUGAGUCCCAUUGGCGGCUUCAAUUCGUCGUCCACGUCCGGCGAGCUAAGAGCCGUUGCAUUCUUUGAUGUGUUGGUUCUGCCUCUGCCUCCGCCUCCGCUUUCUCCUCCGCUUCCGCCUCUGCCUCCGCCUCUAGGAGCCCCACCAGCAGCUGGAAUAUGGUAGCACCGCCUUUCACACCAUAACUUGCACUGACGGUGGUAAAACCCCCCACAUUUCAAUAGAAGUUUCUGUUCACACUCUUUGAAGGCCUUAGGGAGUCGAAUCUUGCGCGGUGUGGAACAGCAAUAUCCUCAUUUUCAUCGAUUUCAUCUGCAGUGAAAAAAGUUCAGCUCCAUAAGGUUCUUUUUCAGAGCUUCAAUAAUACGGUUUGGCCUCUUCAGACUAUAAAACAGGUAGAUGGAUUAUGUGCAAAAAAGAGUUCAACACUAGCUAUGUGGGACUCAUGAGAGACGGAGCAAAACGCUUGGUAGAGAACACAGACAUUAAACUUAUUGAUUUCACAUUGUUGCAUUAUGAAGUCUAGGCUCAAGAAACUGACACUUCAGGAAAGCUGUAGGAAAUUAUUCUUGUCAAGGGUUUGAAACUCGAAGAUUACCUGCAGGAGUGUAUACAAUCCAUAUCUGUCUUUGAGAUUGGUUGGUGGAAAAGGAUCACCUAUAGGAUGAAUGCCUAUCAAAUAACUUCUCCAAGGGAGUAGAAGUCAUCAAAAGGGCCAAGUGAGAAAAGCAUUGCAUGCACAUUCUCCUUGGAAUUCAAAUUUACUUGAUGGGAUGGACAGAUUUUGCAGAGAAUUGGGAACUUUAGCAAUCAUUUGAAUAUGUAGUAUUUCUAAAGCAAAGUAGAGGCUAUGGUUAUGUUUGCUUAGGCUUUCAAAAUAAGACUCGUCUAGACUGUUUCUCUUGUUUUUUCUUUUCCCUUACUGAAGAGCUGCUGGGAAUUGAACUCAUGCGAUAUAUACUUGACGAGGCCCACCAAAAUUGGUUAUUGUGACUUAUGAAGAGAAAGCCUGUCAUGCAAAUUCUCUCUUCCAUGGCGUUGUAACUAUCUUGGUGGUUACCUUUAGCUUCUGCUUUAAAAUGUAGGAUAUGGCACACAACGUGAUUUGAGAGAUCAA